AAACACCCAUAAAUCUGGCCCAGGCUCAGGUUGCAAGGAGACUUUAAGGGUCAGUGUUGCUAUGGCAACGCAUCAAUCCUUCUCGGGGCCGAGGCGAGCACUAUAAAAGAGCUGCCCUGUGCUCUCCAGUUCUUCCUGGAUAGGAGCUAAGCACCUUGCUCAAGGGCCUCUGAACAGAAGCUCACGAGGAAAGGGAGUUCACUUCCACCUGCCAACAUCGUCUCAGAUGGAGUCUCUAACAUGGAACCCUUCAACAAGAAGCCUUCAUCCCUACAUUUUAUAUAUAUACAAGCUGCCAGUUAAGCCAGAAUCUGGGUGCACCCCACCUACAAAUAUGUUUUUAGUCCAACCUUGUCCAGAAGAACCUGCACCUUUAUAAGAAAGGAAACGAGAGAGCGGCACUUCUUUUUCCCUUCUUUGCAGCCUGUGAGAAGAUAGAUCCACCAGCACUUGUACAAACCGUUCGUCAAAAUGUCGAGGAUAUGGUGCUGCCAUCUGCUCAUUUGGAGGGAGAGCAGCCAGCCACCAG